rnacentral:rRNA from 1 species
GGCCAUGCGCGGCUAUACUGCAGUCGAGCGGACAGAAGGGAGCUUGCUCCCGGAUGUUAGCGGCGGACGGGUGAGUAACACGUGGGUAACCUGCCUGUAAGACUGGGAUAACUCCGGGAAACCGGAGCUAAUACCGGAUAGUUCCUUGAACCGCAUGGUUCAAGGAUGAAAGACGGUUUCGGCUGUCACUUACAGAUGGACCCGCGGCGCAUUAGCUAGUUGGUGAGGUAACGGCUCACCAAGGCGACGAUGCGUAGCCGACCUGAGAGGGUGAUCGGCCACACUGGGACUGAGACACGGCCCAGACUCCUACGGGAGGCAGCAGUAGGGAAUCUUCCGCAAUGGACGAAAGUCUGACGGAGCAACGCCGCGUGAGUGAUGAAGGUUUUCGGAUCGUAAAGCUCUGUUGUUAGGGAAGAACAAGUGCAAGAGUAACUGCUUGCACCUUGACGGUACCUAACCAGAAAGCCACGGCUAACUACGUGCCAGCAGCCGCGGUAAUACGUAGGUGGCAAGCGUUGUCCGGAAUUAUUGGGCGUAAAGGGCUCGCAGGCGGUUUCUUAAGUCUGAUGUGAAAGCCCCCGGCUCAACCGGGGAGGGUCAUUGGAAACUGGGAAACUUGAGUGCAGAAGAGGAGAGUGGAAUUCCACGUGUAGCGGUGAAAUGCGUAGAGAUGUGGAGGAACACCAGUGGCGAAGGCGACUCUCUGGUCUGUAACUGACGCUGAGGAGCGAAAGCGUGGGGAGCGAACAGGAUUAGAUACCCUGGUAGUCCACGCCGUAAACGAUGAGUGCUAAGUGUUAGGGGGUUUCCGCCCCUUAGUGCUGCAGCUAACGCAUUAAGCACUCCGCCUGG